rnacentral:rRNA from 1 species
AGCGAACGCUGGCGGCAGGCCUAACACAUGCAAGUCGAACGGCAGCACAGGAGAGCUUGCUCUCUGGGUGGCGAGUGGCGGACGGGUGAGGAAUACAUCGGAAUCUACCUUUUCGUGGGGGAUAACGUAGGGAAACUUACGCUAAUACCGCAUACGACCUACGGGUGAAAGUGGGGGACCGCAAGGCCUCACGCGAUUAG